GCCACUGCUAUUGGGGUUCGGCUAAGCCAUGCGAGUGGAGGGCGUCCCGCAAGGGAUGGCCCCGCGGACGGCUCAGUAACACGUCGUCAACCCACCUUAGGGUGGGGGACAACCUCGGGAAACUGAGGAUAAUCCCCCAUAGGCGGGGGAGGCUAGAAUGCGCCCCCGCUGAAAGCUCAAGCGCCCUAGGACGGGACGGCGGCCUAUCAGGUAGUUGGUGGUGUGACG
rnacentral:rRNA from 1 species